UCGGGCCCAAGAGUUCACAUCGACGGCCCGGUUUGGCACCUCGAUGUCGGCUCAUCGCAUCCUGGGGCUGGAUAAGGUCCCAAGGGUCCGGCUGUUCGCCGGUUAAAGCGGUACGUGAGCUGGGUUUAGAACGUCGCGAGACAGUUCGGUCCCUAUCUCCCGUGGGCGUAGGAUACUUGAAGGGUGCUGUCCGUAGUACGAGAGGACCCGGACAGACGAACCUAUGGUGUUCCAGUUGUCGCGCCAGCGGCAUUGCUGGGUAGCUAUGUUCGGCAGGGAUAAGUGCUGAAGGCAUCUAAGCGCCAAGCCCUCCCUAAGAUAAGGUAUCCCAACCGCGCAAGCGGAGGAGGCACCUUGGAGAUUACAAGGUCGAUAGGCCGGAGGUGUAAGAGCUGUGAAGCUUUGAGCUUACCGGUACUAAUCAGCCGACCGGCUUGACCAC
rnacentral:rRNA from 1 species